rnacentral:rRNA from 1 species
GGAUUAGUGGCGAACGGGUGAGUAACACGUGGGCAAUCUGCCCUUCACUCUGGGACAAGCCCUGGAAACGGGGUCUAAUACCGGAUACCACUCCUGCCCGCAUGGGUAGGGGUUGAAAGCUCCGGCGGUGAAGGAUGAGCCCGCGGCCUAUCAGCUUGUUGGUGGGGUAACGGCCCACCAAGGCGACGACGGGUAGCCGGCCUGAGAGGGCGACCGGCCACACUGGGACUGAGACACGGCCCAGACUCCUACGGGAGGCAGCAGUGGGGAAUAUUGCACAAUGGGCGAAAGCCUGAUGCAGCGACGCCGCGUGAGGGAUGACGGCCUUCGGGUUGUAAACCUCUUUCAGCAGGGAAGAAGCGAGAGUGACGGUACCUGCAGAAGAAGCGCCGGCUAACUACGUGCCAGCAGCCGCGGUAAUACGUAGGGCGCAAGCGUUGUCCGGAAUUAUUGGGCGUAAAGAGCUCGUAGGCGGCUUGUCACGUCGGAUGUGAAAGCCCGAGGCUUAACCUCGGGUCUGCAUUCGAUACGGGCUAGCUAGAGUGUGGUAGGGGAGAUCGGAAUUCCUGGUGUAGCGGUGAAAUGCGCAGAUAUCAGGAGGAACACCGGUGGCGAAGGCGGAUCUCUGGGCCAUUACUGACGCUGAGGAGCGAAAGCGUGGGGAGCGAACAGGAUUAGAUA